rnacentral:rRNA from 1 species
CCUACGGGUGGCAGCAGUGAGGAAUAUUGGUCAAUGGACGAGAGUCUGAACCAGCCAAGUAGCGUGAAGGAUGACUGCCCUAUGGGUUGUAAACUUCUUUUAUAUGGGAAUAAAAUGUUCCACGUGUGGGAUUUUGUAUGUACCAUAUGAAUAAGGAUCGGCUAACUCCGUGCCAGCAGCCGCGGUAAUACGGAGGAUCCGAGCGUUAUCCGGAUUUAUUGGGUUUAAAGGGAGCGUAGGUGGAUUGUUAAGUCAGUUGUGAAAGUUUGCGGCUCAAACGUAAAAUUGCAGUUGAAACUGGCAGUCUUGAGGACAGUAGAGGUGGGCGGAAUUCGUGGUGUAGCGGUGAAAUGCUUAGAUAUCACGAAGAACUCCGAUUGCGAAGGCAGUUCACUGGACUGCAACCGACACUGAGGCUCGAAAGUGUGGGUAUCAAACAGGAUUAGAUACCCGAGUAGUC